ACAUUCUCUUUAGAAUGUGCAAUUGAUUUAUAUAUAUUAGAUAUCAUCUAAAGCGACAGUAUGUUCUUGAUUAUUACCAAGCUGAUUGUUGCACAACUGGUGUUACAUGCUCAGAUGCAACACAAUGAUACCAUAUAAUAAUAAUUAUUAUUAUUAUUUUGAUAUUAAUAAAUAUUCAAGGUAGAUUAUAAUUGUAAAAGCCCAAUUUUGCCUCCCCCAAACAAAUAAUACAAAAACCAAAAAAAAAAAAACAAACAAAUAAAAGUUCAUUAACAGUCCAAAUUACAAGCCCAAUGACCAAAUCCAUCUGAAAACCCUAAAAUAAAAAAAGAAACUCAGCCUAAAGCCCAUUAUCCUAAACACAUUAGAAACCCUAGUUUCCCCUUAGCCCUUUCAGCCGCCGCCUCUGCCCCGUCAGCAAUCACGCCUUUUCUGCCACCAUUUCACCAAAAUGGAAAAUCGUGGCUUCUAAUCGCCAUUGAUUGCAAUGGAUACCUGCAAAAAAAGAGAGAAAAAACAAAAAUAAAGACAUAGAAGCAGAGAAUAGUAGAAUAGAAAAACAAAAAAUGAAAAAAAUAGUAAUAAAAUGUAGAAUAUUUCGGUUAUAAAAGCCGAAAGGAUUCGCGUGUUUUUUGAAAGGUUGGGAAAAUUUCUUCCCAGACCCUUCCG
rnacentral:lncRNA from 1 species